AAGGAAAAGAGCCAGCACAGACAUUUCCUUUUUCACUCUGGCAAACAAAACUAAACCAAAGCAGUGAGGUGCUGCACUGCUCUGAGGAAGAGUGAAUGGUCCACCAAAGAAAGUUGGUCUUUUAAGCUGUGGUGCUCCACAUAUGAAAGGCCAUCCUCAGGGAGGCUUGCUUAGCACAGAAUUUGAUGACUUGUCAGCACCAAGUGAAAACCUUUUUAUUUGCCCAGGUCUUUCAACAUGAAACAAUCACCCAUGAAUCUCAGAAAAUGAACAUUUGAGGCAGAUAAGGGGCAGAUCAACCACCACCAAUCAACCACCCACUUAUCAUAUCACUUCAUAUCACUCCCCUUCGGUCUUAUCAGGGCUCAGCUCCUCCUCCACUGGAGCUGAGUCCCUACCCUUCGGCAGUCUUUUCUCUGUCUCUCCCCGGCUACCACCCAUCCUUGUCACCUUGGGCCCUUUCACCACUCCAUCCUCAGAGGUAAGGACAGCUGGCCUCAACAGACAUUUAAAAAAAAAAUGUAACGCUUUUCAGUGGAAACUGUCAGCCAUCAAAAUGAUGCACAUAUAUAUGUGAAACGCCUGUUGACU